rnacentral:rRNA from 1 species
AUUGAACGCUGGCGGCAUGCCUUACACAUGCAAGUCGAACGGUAACAGGUCUUCGGAUGCUGACGAGUGGCGAACGGGUGAGUAAUACAUCGGAACGUGCCCAAUCGUGGGGGAUAACGCAGCGAAAGCUGUGCUAAUACCGCAUAAGAUCUACGGAUGAAAGCGGGGGAUCGCAAGACCUCGCGCGAGUGGAGCGGCCGAUGGCAGAUUAGGUAGUUGGUGAGGUAAAGGCUCACCAAGCCUGCGAUCUGUAGCUGGUCUGAGAGGACGACCAGCCACACUGGAACUGAGACACGGUCCAGACUCCUACGGGAGGCAGCAGUGGGGAAUUUUGGACAAUGGGCGCAAGCCUGAUCCAGCAAUGCCGCGUGAGUGAUGAAGGCCUAGGUGUAAAGCUCUUUACCCGGGAUGAUAAUGACAGUACCGGAGAAUAAGCUCCGGCUAACUCCGUGCCAGCAGCCGCGG